rnacentral:rRNA from 1 species
UACGUAGGGUGCGAGCGUUAAUCGGACUUACUGGGCGUAAAGCGUGCGCAGGCGGUUCUGCAAGUCAGAUGUGGAAGCCCCGGGCUCAACCUGGGAAUUGCAUUUGAAACUACAGGGCUAGAGUGUGUCAGAGGGGGGUAGAAUUCCACGUGUAGCAGUGAAAUGCGUAGAGAUGUGGAGGAAUACCGAUGGCGAAGGCAGCCCCCUGGGAUAACACUGACGCUCAUGCACGAAAGCGUGGGGAGCAAACAGG